rnacentral:rRNA from 1 species
GAUGAACGCUGGCGGCGUGCCUAAUACAUGCAAGUCGAGCGAACGGACGAGAAGCUUGCUUCUCUGAUGUUAGCGGCGGACGGGUGAGUAACACGUGGAUAACCUACCUAUAAGACUGGGAUAACUUCGGGAAACCGUAGCUAAUACCGGAUAAUAUUUUGAACCGCAUGGUUCAAAAGUGAAAGACGGUCUUGCUGUCACUUAUAGAUGGAUCCGCGCUGCAUUAGCUAGUUGGUAAGGUAACGGCUUACCAAGGCAACGAUGCAUAGCCGACCUGAGAGGGGGAUCGGCCACACUGGAACAGAGACACGGUCCAGACUCCUACGGGGGGAAGCAGUAGGGAAUCUUCCGAAAUGGGCGAAGGCCUGACGGAGCAACGCCGCGUGAGUGAUGAAGGUCUUCGGAUGGUAAAACUCUGUUAUUAGGGAAGAACAUAUGUGUAAGUAACGGUGCACAUCGUGAGGGCACCUAAAAAGAAAGCCGGGGCUAACUACG